rnacentral:rRNA from 1 species
CGCUGGCGGCGCGUCUUAAGCAUGCAAGUCGAACGGCAAGAGGUAGCAAUACCUCCUAGAGUGGCGGACUGGUGAGUAACACGUGGGUGACAUACCCUUCAGAUGGGGAUAGCUAUUAGAAAUAGUAGAUAAUACCGAAUACGAGCACAGGGGUUAGAGAUCUGUGAGGAAAGGAGCUAAGGCUCCGCUGAAGGAAUGGCCUGCGGCCCAUUAGCUAGUUGGUGAGGUAAGAGCCCACCAAGGCGAUGAUGGGUAUCCGGCCUUAGAGGGUGAACGGACACAUUGGGACUGAGAUACGGCCCAGACUCCUACGGGAGGCAGCAGCUAAGAAUAUUCCGCAAUGGACGAAAGCUGACGGAGCGACGCCGCCGUGGAUGAAGAAGGCCGGAAGGUUGUAAAAUCCUUUUGAAACUGAAGAAUAAGCGUUGUAGGGAAUGACAGCGUGGUGACAGUAGGUUUUGAAUAAGCAACGGCUAAUUACGUGCCAGCCGCCGC